AUUGAACGCUGGCGGCAGGCUUAACACACGCAAGUCGAGCGGAGAGAGGUAGCUUGCUACUGAUCUUAGCGGCGGACGGGUGAGUAAUGCUUAGGAAUCUGCCUAUUAGUGGGGGACAACAUUUCGAAAGGAAUGCUAAUACCGCAUACGUCCUACGGGAGAAAGCAGGGGAUCUUCGGACCUUGCGCUAAUAGAUGAGCCUAAGUCGGAUUAGCUAGUUGGUGGGGUAAAGGCCUACCAAGGCGACGAUCUGUAGCGGGUCUGAGAGGAUGAUCCGCCAAACUGGGACUGAGACACGGCCCAGACUCCUACGGGAGGAAGCAGUGGGGAAUAUUGGACAAUGGGCGCAAGCCUGAUCCAGCCAUGCCGCGUGUGUGAAGAAGGCCUUAUGGUUGUAAAGCACUUUAAGCGAGGAGGAGGCUACUUUAGAUAAUACCUAGAGAGAGUGGACGUUACUCGCAGAAUAAGCACCGGCUAACUCUGUGCCAGCCGCCGCCGUAA
rnacentral:rRNA from 1 species